CCUACGGGUGGCAGCAGUGAGGAAUAUUGGUCAAUGGACGCAAGUCUGAACCAGCCAUGCCGCGUGCAGGAAGACGGUUCUAUGAGUUGUAAACUGCUUUUGUACGGGGGUAAACGCAGAUACGCGUAUCUGUCUGAAAGUACCGUACGAAUAAGGAUCGGCUAACUCCGUGCCAGCAGCCGCGGUAAUACGGAGGAUUCAAGCGUUAUCCGGAUUUAGUGGGUUUAAAGGGUGCGUAGGCGGUCGGAUAAGUUAGAGGUGAAAUCCCCGGGCGCAACUUCGGAAUUGCCUUUGAAACUGUCAGGCUAGAGAGUAGUUGAGGUAGGCGGAAUGCAAGGUGUAGCGGUGAAAUGCUUAGAGAUCAGACAGAACACCGAUGGCGAAGGCAGCUUACCAAGCUACUUCUGACGUUGAGGCACGAAAGCGUGGGGAGCAAACAGGAUUAGAUACCCUAGUAGUC
rnacentral:rRNA from 1 species